CUUCUUCAUUUUCUGUAGAUUCAUCAAGUUUCACUCGGCGUGGAAGUCUCGGAGGCCUCCUUUUCUGGUUUAGUCUCAAGACUGGCUCGUCGGUUUCCGACACUCUCCAUAAGCCUAACCAAAUCAGACAUCUUCGGUCUCUGGUCAGGUGCUUUGACAACACAGGACAUAGCAAUCUGCAACAUCUCAACCAUCUCUUCCUCUAUGUUCGUAUACCUCAAAAGCUCCACGUCAAAAACCUCCGCAGUCCAUUCCUCUCUCACUACCGAAUGUACCCAUCGAACCAAAUGUAUAAUCUCAUCUCCUGUCCAAAAAUAAAAAAAAUCAUUAAACCGAAGAUAUUAUAAUAGUAUGUUAUUUAUUUUUCUUGUUUGUAACCAUUACCUGCGGUAGUGUGAAUGGGGGAUUUUCCGGUGAGUAGCUCGAGCAAUACAACACCAAAACUAUAAACAUCUGAGAGUUGAGAAGACUUCCUUGUGUCUGUUACUUCCGGCGCACGGUAACCAGCUUGCCUAGAGAUGGGUGGAGCCAAGGCGCUCAUGACAGCUGUUAAACCAAGAUCAGACACGCAUCCGUAACGCUCUGAGUUCAAGAAUAUGUUGGAAGACUUGAUGUUCCCAUGUACGAGCUUUCCAUUGUUCUCUUUGUGGAUCCUAGCGAUCCCUUUAGCCGCACCAAUCGCAAUCUUCAUCCUCGUUUCCCAAUCCAACGGAACCCGGUUCUCUCCUCGGUUACCUGCACCAACUAAACCGGUUACUAAAAUUAAACCGGAAACGAGCCUAACCAAAGCUAAUAACACAUUACCGUGAAGCAAAGAAGCCACACUUCCACUGCUGAAGUAAUCAUAAACCAUAAGCUUCUCGUCUUUGGAGUAAUAAUAAGCCUUAAGCUCCACGACAUUCUCGUGCUUAAUCCCUCCAAUAAUCUCCAUCUGCUGCUCGAAAUCGCGUUUCCCAGCCGCAACGUCUUUAAGCCGUUUCACAGCGACGGAAGUCGCAUCCUCAAGAACCGCUUUGUACGUCGUCCCAAACGUGCCUUUACCAAGAAUCUCAGCGGAAGCUCUCAAGAGAUCCUCGAGAUCGAACGAGUAGCUGCAUCCUUCGAAGAAAGACAACCUGUUGUUAGCCUCCUCCAUCCUCGAAUCAAACUUCUCCGGAGACAUACCUCCUUUCUUCUGCAGCUUAUGGUCCUUAACAAUCGUUACCUUGCGCCUCAAGUAACAAAGAGCAAACACAAACGCUAAAACCGCGAGAAGUAAAAUUGCAACAGAGAUAACGAUGAGGAGGAAGACCGUCUUCGUGACUCCUUUAGGCUUCUUUCGAGUCGGUGGUUCAGGAGGUGGUUGAAAGUGAGUGACGUCAUCACCAAUCCCUUGGUAAGAAGACGGUGGGAACCUUAGCAGCCAGCUCGGUAACGGUCCGUGGAGGUUGUUGUUAGACAGAUCAAUCUCUUUCAAACUCGAGAGCCCAUUUAGCUCAUCAGGAACCACACCGGAGAGAGAAUUGUUAGCGAGGUUCAACGACUGUAACCGUUUCAGACCAGAGAGAGAGACAGGAACUGUUCCAUUGAAUCUGUUAUUCGAGAGAUUUAAACUAACGAGCUUCUUCCAUACGGAGAAGUCCAGAGGCAACGGGCCGGAGAAGUCGUUGUCCUCGAGGUAAAGAAAGGCCAAGUCUUUAAGCCCAGCGAGGCCCAUAGGGAAUGGGCCUGAGAGUCUGUUGGACCUGAGGCUGAGGACUCUGAGGGCAGAGAGUCUGCUUAUGGUGUUGGGAGGAAUCUGACCGUUGAGUCCGAUCGCUGGCAAUCUAAGGGCUAUGAUUCGAGAUUCGUUGUGGUUGCAAGUGACUCCUGUCCAGUUUUUGCAGAGGGGAGUGGUCUCGUUCCAGUUGAGAGAGCGUGUUGGGCGCGUGAUGGUUAGAAACUCGAGUAACGCGCGUUUGUCUUGUGAAGGAUCUGCUUUUGCUCCGGAGAUGAUUAGAUACAGAGAGAAGAGAGUCCAUAGAGAAAGCCUCCACGCUUCCAUUGCUGGUUCUUUGUGAAGAUAAUGAUGAUGAUGGGACUAUAAAUGGAGAAAGUUUGGAUGAGAAACUUUAAUUUGAAAUAAAAGGGUACAAAAGGGAGAUUUCUAGAAAACUGGGGAUCAAAAAGUAAAAGGGAAUCUCAAGUAAACAAAGAGUGGGAGACAGAAGAAGAGAGUAGCUUCGGUAAUAACGAAAUGAAAGUCAUGUUUUGUCUUUGUUGUACAUUCAAAAGCUUUUUUUUUAAUUUUAAACUCUUCGAAAUCGAAACCCUAGAAUUUCUGGGAAUUAUACAACAGUGUCAAAAAAAGUAGGACUCUUAACUCUCUAUUAAGGGGUUAAAAUUAUUUAAAAUAAAGAAAUUGAUACCUCCAGAUCUGAACUUUUACGAGUCUUUUUAAUUUAUUUUUUCUAGUCACGCACGCCGUUUCUUCUCGAGAAUCUCGAUCACGUCUUUAACUUGAAGAACACGAACUUGAGAACCACCAUUGAAGCACUGAAGAUGGGCAUUCGGGGUCUCAAUCGGGUUUCGGUUUUUCGGGUUUAUCAAAAUCAGUCCCAUUUGGGUUACAUGAAAAUUCGGUUCGGGACCGGUUCGGGUUCUAUCGGGCUCCGGUCGGGUUUAGUAAAUCUUCAAGGAACCAAUACAACCCGAUGUACUUUCGGGUUCAAGUCCCAAUCGGUUCUUCGGUUUAAAUGUACCUGAUUUAUAUCUGUUUUGUAACCAAAAAGUAACUAAAAUCGGUUCUUCGGUUUUAAAAUACUUGAUUUCUACCUAUUUUGUAACCAAAACAUAAAUAAAAUCGGUUCAAAAAAAAGAGCAUCAAAUAUAAUCAUUCAUAAUCAAGUGAAAGGUAAACAUAGUUAUUGAUCGAAAGAAAACCAAAUAAAUGAAAGCAUGAAACGAAAAUCAUGUUGUCAUGAAAUAAAAAACAUUAUUCAAUGAAAAAUAAAAUUCAAAUAUAAAAACUUCAACUUUCAACCGCCACCUUUAACCAUCAAUCUUCAUAUAAUAGAUAAUUAUUUUAGAUGUUCAAUAUAUUUUGAAUACAUAUUAGGAAUUGAAAUCAUGUUUGGUACAAGUUCUUUUUGAAAAUUUUGAAUGUUUCGAGUUCUAUCGGGUAUCUAUUUAGGUUCGGGUUCGGUUCGGAUAAUACUCAUAACCCGAAAUACCAUAAAACAAGAUCCAUUCGGUUUUUAUGUCGAGUUCGGAUCGGUUCAGAUUCAUUUUAUCGGAUCGGGUUUGGUUCGGAUUUUCGGGUUCGGUUUAUUUGCCCAGUCCUAGUAAGAAGUGAGCCUAACAAUCUUCACUGGCAGCCGAAACAAUAAUGGCUAAUGGGCUAUGAAGCCCAUUAGGAAAAGCUAAUUUAGAUGAGUUUCUGAAACUUGAGAUGUUUCUUUUUCUGUUUUCCUUAAUUCAUUCAUACUGACUUUUGAAAAACCAAGAAUCCCUAGCCAGAAAUGUGUUGAAUUAAACCGGUUCUAACCGAAGAAGAGAGGAUCAACAGAAGAGAGUAUACAAACUUCAUAUAUCAACAGCUUCUUCAUUUUCUGUAGAUUCAUCAAGUUUCACUCGGCGUGGAAGUCUCGGAGGCCUCCUUUUCUGGUUUAGUCUCAAGACUGGCUCGUCGGUUUCCGACACUCUCCAUAAGCCUAACCAAAUCAGACAUCUUCGGUCUCUGGUCAGGUGCUUUGACAACACAGGACAUAGCAAUCUGCAACAUCUCAACCAUCUCUUCCUCUAUGUUCGUAUACCUCAAAAGCUCCACGUCAAAAACCUCCGCAGUCCAUUCCUCUCUCACUACCGAAUGUACCCAUCGAACCAAAUGUAUAAUCU
rnacentral:lncRNA from 1 species